UGGCACAAUAGUAUAGGUAUAGUCAUUGAAGAAGGUGGCUUUUGGGUAAAUAACUAGAUGCAUGCGGUACUCCUGCAUUUUGAACAAAUUUAUACAGAGCAAAAGCUUUCAAAUAGGAAACACUUCUUCACCCAAUGAAAACUGGAAAGACAAAGAAAAUAGAACACGCCUUUCCUGCACAUUGUUUUCCCCACCAAAUGAUUGGUACUUUGACUGUAAUAACAAUAAAAAGACAUGCUCUUAGAUCCAGUGUUUAAAUGUUUUAGCCAUGUAUAUUAGUUCAAAAUACUUCAUUCAUACUAAAUAACAUGAUAGCAAGAAGGUUACAAAAGGAAAGCAAGAAAUGGCAAUGUCUUUUCGGUUUAGACUAGCUGCAAUGAUGUACUGUCUAUAUGAGAGAACCUGCAGAGCAAUUAUCUAUCUUGCUCAACUGUUACAAAUGUGCUUUAGAGGUUAUCAUAUAGUUUCACCAACAUCCAGCCUAAGCAAUUGCAAAAAAUAAAAGAAUUAAUGAAUUCCUGAACAUACGCACACACACACACAGCCAAAAUACUAUAGCUUAUUUAUUGAAAUUAAUCCACUAUGCCAAAUUAUGAUCAAUGGAAAAUUCAAAAUUUUAUUUUUUGUAAUAUAAAAAGGAAAAAUCACUGAAAGCAAUUUACCAUAUGCUGAAAAUGAAGAAUACAUAUUCCAUAUACAGGUAUUAAUGAGUAAAACAUUUAGUUACCUCUUGGAUCGGCAUAACCAUCUCAACACAUCUCUUUAUUGGAAGCUUUUCCCUCUUCUAUUUCAAUAGAAAACAAAGAAAGGGCAGCUGAUGUUCUUAGUUAAAUCUUGGGAUUAAAGGUUAGAACUUGAUACCUGCAAAUGUGGAAAACAGGAUCAUGACAACAGCGUGGAAGCAAUAACUACUAAAAUUCAAAGGUAAGGUCUCUUGACAAGUGCCGAUUUAUGAAUGAAAUGAAAUCUUUGAUCAUCUUUAAAGAAAGUUUUAAGAGCUAUAAAAUGAUUCUUGAGAAGUAGGAUAAUCAACAUCAGAACUAGUUCUACAGCCUUACUAACAAGUUAUAGUAGUUAGCACACGACUUUGUUAACAAGUUAUAGUAAUUAGCAUACAACCCAUUAACGAGCUAC
rnacentral:lncRNA from 1 species